GUAUGUGUGUGAUACCCGGCAGGGGUUGCGCAUGCGGGGUUGUGGGAUCUCUUUUCUGUCGUCUGCCGGCGACAGGGCGAGUCAGAAACCGUUGGUGUAGGCGAAGGACAUGCGAAAGGUCCGGCGUAGAGGGUAAGACCCCCGUAGCUGAAACAUCAACGGCUCGUUUAAGAGACACCCAAGUAGCACGGGGCCCGAGAAAUCCCGUGUGAAUCUGGCGGGACCACCCGCUAAGCCUAAAUAUUCCCUGGUGACCGAUAGCGGAUAGUACCGUGAGGGAAUGGUGAAAAGUACCGCGGGAGCGGAGUGAAAUAGUACCUGAAACCGUGUGCCUACAAGCCGUGGGAGCGUCGCUGUAUGUGUUUACACAUACAGUCGUGACUGCGUGCCUUUUGAAGAAUGAGCCUGCGAGUUUGCGGUGUGUUGCGAGGUUAACCCGUGUGGGGAAGCCGUAGCGAAAGCGAGUCCGAAUAGGGCGGUUUAGUAGCGCGCUCAAGACCCGAAGCGGAGUGAUCUAGCCAUGGGCAGGUUGAAGCGGCUGUAAGAGGUCGUGGAGGACCGAACCCACCAGGGUUGAAAACCUGGGGGAUGACCUGUGGUUAGGGGUGAAAGGCCAAUCAAACUCCGUGAUAGCUGGUUCUCCCCGAAAUGCAUUUAGGUGCAGCGUCGUGUGUUUCUUGCCGGAGGUAGAGCACUGGAUAGGCGAUGGGCCCUACCGGGUUACUGACCUUAGCCAAACUCCGAAUGCCGGUAAGUGAGAGCGCGGCAGUGAGACUGUGGGGGAUAAGCUCCAUGGUCGAGAGGGAAACAGCCCAGAGCAUCGACUAAGGCCCCUAAGCGUACGCUAAGUGGGAAAGGAUGUGGAGUCGCAGAGACAACCAGGAGGUUGGCUUAGAAGCAGCCACCCUUGAAAGAGUGCGUAAUAGCUCACUGGUCAAGUGAUUCCGCGCCGACAAUGUAGCGGGGCUCAAGCGUACCGCCGAAGUCGUGUCAUUC
rnacentral:rRNA from 1 species